rnacentral:lncRNA from 1 species
UGUUUGCUGAUGACUGAAUCCCUGGGUUAAACGGCCCAACAAGCAAUCAAACACGAGCGAUAUAUCAAAACCGAACGGAUAACCUAGACGAGAGUUUUGGCCGUUGGCAAGCACCGCCCGCAAGCGCUCGAUCGCACACAAGGUUCGAGACGAGCAGUAUUCGGGUUGGGCCUCGUGGCCUUCCAAGCACAUUUUGUAUACUAUUUAUUCGCGAUUUAGGAAGCGAUGUCGGGGGUUUGAUUUCCGGCGGAGGCCAGGUUGGCCGCGGCCUAGCCGGCUGGUCCAAAAAUCGCGCCGAGUCAGCCAGCCGAUGAGCCGUCGCCGGCCGUGGCAUCAUUAAGCAGGUCGUCACCGUCAUCAAAUGGACAGCCGCCUUUGAUGGCGUAGGCGAGACAGUCCGAGCGACCGUAACGAGCCGCGCCUUUCACUGUCUGUCUGUCCCAUGGACACCCGUGGCGACAGAGCCAGUCGAGCACGUCGAGAUGCCCGCCUCGGGCCGCUGCCGCGGCCGUCUCCUCGGACCACGGGCAUCCUUGCGCGCGCAGCCACUGGAGCGCCCGCAGUUGCCCUUUUUCGGCGGCCCAGGUGCAGGCAUCGUCGAACCCGGGACAUCCAUUCUUGAGCAGAUAUUCCAGGCAGUCGAUAUAGCCACCCGACAAGGCGCUCCACGUUGUCCAAGUGUCCCACUCUCCGCCACUCUCGUGCACGUACUUGAGCACAUUGAGAUGGCCGUGCUCCGCGGCGUUCCACGAGGUGAUGGCACACGUCGGCCAUCCGUUCUCGCACGCGUAGCGCAGAGUGUCGACAUGCCCACCAGCGGCGGCAAGGCGGCACGCGAGUUCGCCGUCGUCGCCGAGGCCAUUCUCCUUGGCGUAGCGCAGCACGUCCGUGUGUCCGUUUUCAGCCGCCUCGUCGCAUUCUCCCCUCCAGUAACAGCCGGCACCGUGGGCGUAGCGCAGGCAGUCAAUGCGACCAUAAGUCUCGGCGGCAGUACACACACCAUAGUGCCACGGGCAGCCGUUUUCGUGCGCGUACACGAGUAUGUCGAGGUGGCCGCGAGCGGCCGCUGGCACUAGGCACGCACCGUCGUACCACGGGUGGGCAGUCAAGCGCGCCAUGCAGUCGACGUGGCCGCUGUUGGCCGCUAGCAUGCGCACCAGGACGGCCCGCGGCUUUCUGCGUCGCGUCUCCCGGAGACUCUCUUCGAGGAGACGCCCCAAGUAGCCGACCUGCUCGGCCAUCAGCGGCCCUUGGAGAAAGGCCUCGCGCGCGGCGGCACUUGUGCACAGCGGUUUCCCGAUGGCCGCCGCGUCGUAGAUGACUGAGCGCCAUCGCCUGCACACACGCGCCACGUUGCGACACAGAUCGAUGCAUGGCAGAGGCGCCAGGAUGGCGGCCACCAACUCGCCGGGCAGAUCGUCAAAGCCGAUGCCCUGCUUUGGCGAUCCGCGUGGCGGCGCAGACGCAGCGCAGCACACGACGAGGCGAUCAACAAGGCACCCAUCGUGCUUGGCGACGGGGCGCUUCUUGUGGUGGCGCCGUCCCCGGCGUCUGCGCUGAUUCUGCUUGCCGUCUCUAGGGUGAUCUUCCAUCUCGCCUUGGCGUUUCCACGUUGCUUUGGCCCUUGCGAUGGCGACACCGCGACACGAGGACAAUAGCCAAGCGGCGCGCACAACAGCCGCGACGGUGGCAACAAGAGACCCGAGAGGCGGCCAGCGUUUGUGCCGCUGCGGCGCGUCGCCCACUCGCACGGCGGCGGCUGCACCGUCGAUCAGUCGACGAGCCACGUUGCCCACGGCGGCCGGCAUGCGAUGUUCUUUUCAUUUCCUAUUGGUUGUGCAUUUUUUCAUGAAAUUACUGUCGACUGAAUGGAUCAUAGCAAAAAAAAAGCAAGAAAAAUCCCGACAAGG